GGUGUCUCUGUACACCAUAGCUCCCAAGGUAGAGUUUACUCCCACCUCCAGGGGCGAGAUGCCUCGAGCCAGGGUGUGUGUGUGUGGGGUAGCUCUGUACACCAUCGCACCCAGGGUAGAGGGGACUCCCCCCCUCCAGGAGCAGGACGCCUGGAGCCCAGAUGUCUGGGUGGGGGAGCUCUGUACACCAUCUCACCCAGGAUACAGGGGACUACCCCUUACAGUGGGGAGAUGUAUGGAAUUGGGUGUUGGGUGGGAGCUCUGUACACCAAGGUAGAGGGGACUCCCCACUGCACAGGCUAGAAGCCUAGAGGCCGGGUGUGUGUGUGUGGGAGCUCUGUACAGCAUUGCACCCAGGGUAUAGGGGACUCCCCCCUCCUGGGGCUAGACGCCUCAAGCUCGGAUUUCGGGGGGGGGGGCUCUGUACACCAUCCCACUCAGGGUAGAAGGGAUUCCCCGCUCCAGGGGUGAGAUGCCUCCAGCCCGGGGUGUGUGUGUGUGAGCUCUGUACACCAUCGCACCCAAGGUAGAAGGGACUCCCACCUCCAGGGGCAAGAUGCCUGGAGCCCUGAUGUCGGGGAGGAGCUCUGUACACCAUCGCACCCAGAGUAGAGAAGACUGCCCCCUCUAGGGGCAAGAUGCCUCAAGCGUGUGUGUGUGUGUGUGUGUGUGUGUGUGUGUGUAGCUCUGUACACCAUCUCACCCAGGGUAGUGGGGAAUCUUCCCUCCGGGGGGCGAGAAGCCUCCAGCCUGGUUGUCGGGGGCGGGGGAGCUCUGUAUACCAUAGCACCUAGGGUAGAGGGGACUCCCCCUUCGAGGGGCAAGAUGCCUCGAAUCCCGGUGUCAGCGUGGGAGCUCUGUACACCAUUUUACCCAAGGUAGAUGGGACUCCCUUCUCUGGGGGCGAGACACCUAGAGCCCGGGUAUUGGGGGGAGCUAUGUACAUCAUGGCACUCAGGGUAGAGGGGACUUCCCCCUCCAUGGGCGAGACACCUCUAGCCCUGGUGUUGGUUGAGAGCUCUGUACAACAACACACCCAGGGUAGAGGGGACUCCCCCCUCCAGGGGCGAGAUGCGUUGAGCCUGGGUGUCGGGGUAGUGGUGGUGGUGGAGCUCUGUACAUCAUAGCACCCAAGGUAGAGGGGAUCCCCCCUCUAGGGGUGAGACACCUGGAGCCUGGGUGUCG
rnacentral:lncRNA from 1 species